rnacentral:hammerhead_ribozyme from 11 species
AACGCGUCUGGAGUAGGGACCGGCCACACAGCCCCACUGAUGAGUCUGUGGUCGGUUCCGAGACGAAACGCUCC